GACGAACGCUGGCGGCGUGCCUAAUACAUGCAAGUUGAGCGCUGAAGGUUGGUGCUUGUACCAACUGGAUGAGCAGCGAACGGGUGAGUAACGCGUGGGGAAUCUGCCUUUGAGCGGGGGACAACAUUUGGAAACGAAUGCUAAUACCGCAUAAAAACUUUAAACACAAGUUUUAAGUUUGAAAGAUGCAAUUGCAUCACUCAAAGAUGAUCCCGCGUUGUAUUAGCUAGUUGGUGAGGUAAAGGCUCACCAAGGCGAUGAUACAUAGCCGACCUGAGAGGGUGGUCGGCCACAUUGGGACUGAGACACGGCCCAAACUCCUACGGGAGGCAGCAGUAGGGGAUCUUCGGCAAUGGACGAAAGUCUGACCGAGCAACGCCGCGUGAGUGAAGAAGGUUUUCGGAUCGUAAAACUCUGUUGGUAGAGAAGAACGUUGGUGAGAGUGGAAAGCUCAUCAAGUGACGGUAACUACCCAGAAAGGGACGGCUAACUACGUG
rnacentral:rRNA from 1 species